UACGUAGGGGGCGAGCGUUGUCCGGAAUCAUUGGGCGUAAAGCGCACGUAGGCGGAUUGUUAAGUCAGGGGUGAAAUCCUGGAGCUCAACUCCAGAACUGCCUUUGAUACUGGGGAUCUCGAGUCCGGGAGAGGUGAGUGGAACUGCGAGUGUAGAGGUGAAAUUCGUAGAUAUUCGCAAGAACACCAGUGGCGAAGGCGGCUCACUGGCCCGGAACUGACGCUGAGGUGCGAAAGCGUGGGGAGCAAACAGG
rnacentral:rRNA from 1 species